UGGGGCUACAAGGGGGGAUCAAAGUUUUUCAUACAAAUAUAUAGGGACAUUCUUUUAGAAUCUUCUUCUCAAGAACCACUGAGUCUGAAAAGCUGAUAUUCACAUGAACAGCUUCCUAACAUAGAGCAGAGCUAAGUUUGUUCAAAUCAUGGCCCCCUGUUGUAGGAUGGGGCCACAAUAGGGGAUCAAAGUUUUACAUACAAAUAUAUAGGAAUUUUUAAAAAAAAAUCUUCUCAACAAGAACCACUGAGCCAGAAAAGCUGAUAUUUACAUGAAAGCUUUCUGAUAUAGUGCAGAUUCAAGUUUGUUCAAAUCAUGGCCCCUGGGGGUAGGAUAGGGCCACAAGGGGGGAUCAAAGUUUUGCAUACAAAUAUAUAGGAAAAAUCUUCAAAUAUCUUCUUCUCGUGAACCAUUGGGCCAAAGAAGUUCACAUUUACAAGAAAAAUUUCUGACAUAGUGUAGAUUCAAGUUUGCGAAAACUAUGGCCUCCAGGGGUAGAUUGGGGCCAUGAUAAGGACUACGGUUUUACAUGCAAAUAUAUAUAGAAAGUCUUCUGAUAUGGACCAAGGUGACUCAGGUGAGCGAUAUAUGGCCCAUGGGCCUCUUGUUACGGUCUCAUCCGAAGAACCGCCCCAUUUAGUCGCCUGUUACGACAAGCAAGGGGUACUGAGGACCUAGUCUAACCCGGAUCCCCACGGGAUAGGUAAACGAUGUAAUCCGUAGUCAAAAUCAAUGUGUAAAGAACAGCCUAACAAUCGGUAUGAAACACUUAAGACAGCAUUCUACACACCAAUACAUAUAGCUUGUUUCACUAUAACUACCAUCAAAAUCUUAAAUGCUGACUAUAAAUGAGUGUUGAAAAGCUGACUUGUCAGUGGCCUGCCUCCAUUCACUUAUUGAUCAUACACAGAACAAGCUCUUGCAUAUUGAUUCAUUUGAAUGACGAGCACCAUAUACUGGUGAUGAUAAGAAUUGCUACAGAAAUAUGGGAAGUUGUCGGUGGAUGUGGAAGACUGUCGUCCUUUGUCUGGAAUGUAUUGUGUUGCAUGUAAUAGAUAAAACGUCGGUCAUAUAUCUUGAUGUUGAGUUGAAGGCUACAGCUAAAGAUUUUUUAUGUAGAAGCUUCUGAACAAAUUCAGCCUCAUAAGAAUUCAAAACCUGGUCAAAUGAAUCCUGAUAAUGGAGCACAAUUUGCACCCAUGGGUACAGUAUUUGAACAAUAAGGAUCUCUAGCAAAGUAGUAUUCACAUACAUGCCAUCUUUCCCGAUUUGUGCGGGAUUCUCCCGAUUUGAAGCAGUUGAAAAGGAAAUCCCGAUCGGGAUUGCAAAAAUACCCCGAAAUCCCGAUUUUCUUAAAAUAUAUCCCAUUUUACGACAACAAACCCCCAUUUCCAACCGGAAUUUGAAAUCCCGCGUCAUUUCUGAACUGGCCAAUCAGAAAUCGGGACAAUAGUCAGCCAUUGCUGUUUACCUGUGUCGCAUGGUAUCGGGGUGAUGUAAUUUACCUGGUCUGCCUGUGUCGGGGUGCUUAUUGGACAGUGCGAAGCAUGUUUUGAUAGUAAUUAAUCGAGAAGACGGAUUUCAAAUUGACAUAUCCUUUACACAAACGUGAAUGACAAUGAUAAUAGUGUCACCACCAAACAAUCUGACAUUCCAGAUUUUUGCCUCUCGCUGACAGCAUCCAAAAUAUGCAACAUGAAAGAUGUCAUGGGUGCAAAGGUUUUGUUCGCAAACUUCAUAGCAGGGCAGAUCACUCCUUUUCUGGUUGCAAUGUAGAUUAUUCCACCAGACUCUGCAAGCCCAUGGAAUUGUUUACAGACAAGCAAGAUCGCCUUUGUACUCGUACCUAAAUGCAUAAAUUUUUGAUAUAUAGACCAUCCAAUGUGUAUAUGGUGUAAAAGGAUGCAACUUUAAGUAUUAUUUGAUAAUAUGUAUGUGACUUGUUGGAGAGGAUUUUUUGCUGAAUAGAUGAUUUUAAUAAAAUACUUAUGUAUAUC